GACGAACGCUGGCGGCGUGCUUAACACAUGCAAGUCGAACGAUGAACCCGGAGCUUGCUCCGGCGGAUUAGUGGCGAACGGGUGAGUAACACGUGAGUAACCUGCUCUUGACUCUGGGAUAACUGCUAGAAAUGGUAGCUAAUACCGGAUACGACCCUCGGUGGCAUCACCAGGGGUGGAAAGCUUUUGCGGUGUGGGAUGGGCCCGCGGGCUAUCAGCUUGUUGGUGGGGUGAUGGCCUACCAAGGCGACGACGGGUGGCCGGCCUGAGAGGGGAGCGGGCCACGCUGGGAGUGCGAUACGGCCCGGACUCGUGGGGGAGGCAGCAGGGGGGAAUAUUGCACAAGGGGCGAAAGCCUGAUGCAGGUACGCCGCGUGAGGGAUGAGGGCAAUCGGCAUGUAAACGUCUUUUAGCAGGGAAGAAGCGAAGGUGACGGUACCUGAAGAAAAAGCACCGGCUAAGUACGAGCCAGCCGCCGCCGUAA
rnacentral:rRNA from 1 species